rnacentral:lncRNA from 1 species
GAACUGGGUUGGGCACUGGAGUUUCACGAGAGUGCUGAGGCGCCGGUCCCGCCAGGAGAAAAUGUGGUCAUGGCCUCCUCGUUUCCCCUCAGAGCUGCAUGUGAGCCCUCCUUUCCAUCCCUUCAUGGAUCCAUUUCUUCAUUGUUAUGGGCUGUAUUUUGUUCCCUCGAAUUCACAUGUUGAAGUCCCAAUCCCCAGAGCUGCAGAAUGUUACUGUAUUAGGAGACAAAGCCGUUAAAGAAGAAAUUAAGUCAAAAUGAGGCCGUUAGGGUGGGCCCUAGUCCAAUAUGACUGGUGACCUUAUAAGAAGAAAUCUGGACAUGCAAAGCACCGAGAGCUACAAGUGGACAGAGGGCCAAUCAUGUGACAAGGCAGCAAGGGGACAGCCAUCUGCAAGCCAAGGAGAGCAGCUUCAGCUCAAAACCAAUCCUUGGAAGACUGAAAUGUUUUCUUUAAGAUUGGGAACAAAGCAGCCAGGUGCAGUGGCUCACGCCUGUAAUCCCAGCACUUUGGGAGGCUGAGGCGGGCGGAUCACCUGAGGUUGGGAGUUCGAGACCAGCCUGACCAACAUGGAAAAACCCUGCCUCUACUAAAAAUACAAAAUUAUCCUGGUGUGGUGCCGCAUGCCUGUAAUCCCAGCUACUUGGGAGGCUGAGGCAGGAGAAUGGCAUGAACGCGGGAGGCGGAGUUUAGAGUGAGCCAAGAUCACUCCAUUGCACUUCAGCCUGGGCAACAAGAGCGAAACUCUGUCUCCAAAAAAAAAAAAAAAAGGGAGCAAAGCAAGGAUGCCUGCUUUGGCCACUUCUAUUUACAUAGUACUGAGUCUUAGCCAGAGCAACUAGGCAAGAAAAAGAAAUAAAAGGCAUCCAAAUUGAAAAGGAAGAAGUAAAUUAUCUCUGUUCGAAGAAGAUAUGAUCUCAUAUGCAGAAAACCUGAAGAUUCCACACAUGCACAAACCUGUUAAAAUAAAUGAAUUCAGCGAAGUAGCAGGGUACCAAGUAAAUAAACCCAGAUCCAUUGCAUGUCUGUAUACUAAUAAUCUAAUAAUGAACAAUCUGAAAAAGAAAUUAUGAAAAAAUAAUACUAUUUACAACAGUAUUACAAAGAAGUUUAGGAAUUAACUUGACUAAGGAGAAGAAAGAUUUGCACAAGGAAAACUACCAAACGUUGCUGAAAGAAUUUUUUUUUUUUGAGACACCCCAGAGUCUUGCUCUGUCACUCAGGCUGGAGUGUAGUAGCAUGAUCUCGGCUCACUGCAACCUCCAUCUACCAGGUUCAAGUGAUUCUCUUGCCUCGGCCUCCCUAGUAGCUGGAAUUACAGGUGUGCACCACUACAGCCAGCUAGUUUCUUGUAUUUUAGUAGAGACUGGGUUUCACCAUGUUGCUCAGGCUGGUCUCGAACUCCUAAGCU